rnacentral:rRNA from 1 species
UACGUAGGGUGCAAGCGUUGUCCGGAAUUAUUGGGCGUAAAGAGCUCGUAGGCGGUUUGUUGCGUCGGCUGUGAAAACCUGAGGCUCAACCUCAGGCCUGCAGUCGAUACGAGCAGACUAGAGUGUUGCAGGGGAGACUGGAAUUCCUGGUGUAGCGGUGAAAUGCGCAGAUAUCAGGAGGAACACCGGUGGCGAAGGCGGGUCUCUGGGCAACAACUGACGCUGAGGAGCGAAAGCGUGGGGAGCGAACAGGAUUAGAAACCCUGGUAGU